UGAGGAAUAUUGGUCAAUGGGCGCAAGCCUGAACCAGCCAUCCCGCGUGCAGGAAGACGGCCCUAUGGGUUGUAAACUGCUUUUCCAGGGAGAGAAACCUGCGCACGUGUUGCGCAAUUGACGGUACCCAGGGAAUAAGCAUCGGCUAACUCCGUGCCAGCAGCCGCGGUAAUACGGAGGAUGCAAGCGUUAUCCGGAUUCAUUGGGUUUAAAGGGUGCGUAGGCGGACUAUUAAGUCAGUGGCGAAAGCCUGCAGCUUAACUGCAGAACUGCCAUUGAUACUGAUAGUCUUGAGUUUGGUUAAGGUAGGCGGAAUGUGUAAUGUAGCGGUGAAAUGCUUAGAUAUUACACAGAACACCAAUUGCGUAGGCAGCUUACUGAGCCGACACUGACGCUGAGGCACGAAAGCGUGGGGAUCGAACAGG
rnacentral:rRNA from 1 species